AUUGAACGCUGGCGGCAGGCUUAACACAUGCAAGUCGAGCGAGCGGCGGACGGGUGAGUACUGUCUGGGAAACUGCCUGAUGGAGGGGUAUAACUACUGGAUACGGUAGCUAAUACCGCAUACCAUCAGUUGUUCCCAGAUGGGAUUAGCUAGUUGUCUGUGUAGUGGCUCACCUAGGCGACGCUCCCAAGUUGGUCUGAGAGGAUGACCAGCCACACUGGAACGGUGACACGGUCCAGACGCCUACGGGAGGCAGAGGGGGGGAAUAUUGCACAAUGGGCGCAAGCCGGAUACAGCAAUGCCGCGUGUGUGAAGAAGGCAUUCGGGUUGUAAAGCACUUUCAGCGAGGAGGCGUUACUCGAAGAAGAAGCACCGGCUAACUCCGUGCCAGCAGCCGCGGUAAUAC
rnacentral:rRNA from 1 species